rnacentral:rRNA from 1 species
UACGUAGGGUGCGAGCGUUGUCCGGAAUUAUUGGGCGUAAAGAGCUCGUAGGCGGUGUGUCACGUCGGCCGUGAAAACCUGCAGCUUAACUGUGGGCGUGCGGUCGAUACGGGCAUCACUGGAGUUCGGCAGGGGAGACUGGAAUUCCUGGUGUAGCGGUGAAAUGCGCAGAUAUCAGGAGGAACACCGAUGGCGAAGGCAGGUCUCUGGGCAUUAACUGACGCUGAGGAGCGAAAGCAUGGGGAGCAAACAGG